rnacentral:rRNA from 1 species
GACGAACGCUGGCGGCGUGCCUAACACAUGCAAGUCGAGCGAAGUUUAUAUGAAAGAUUCUUCGGAUGAUUUUAUAUAAACUUAGCGGCGGACGGGUGAGUAACGCGUGAGGAACCUGCCUUGUACUAGGGGAUAGCCUCGGGAAACCGGGAUUAAUACCCUAUGAUACUUAUUCUCCACAUGAAGAUUAAGUUAAAGCGAUUUAGUGGUACAAGAUGGUCUCGCGUCCCAUUAGUUAGUUGGUGAGGUAAUGGCUCACCAAGACCACGAUGGGUAGCCGGCCUGAGAGGGUGAUCGGCCACACUGGAACUGAGACACGGUCCAGACUCCUACGGGUGGCAG